rnacentral:rRNA from 1 species
GACAGAGGGGGCAAGCGUUGCUCGGAAUUACUGGGCGUAAAGGGCGCGUAGGCGGGACGGCAAGUCGGUCGUGAAAUCCCUCGGCUCAACUGAGGAACGUCGAUCGAUACUGCCGUUCUUGAGGGUUGCAGAGGAGACUGGAAUUCCCGGUGUAGCGGUGAAAUGUGUAGAGAUCGGGAGGAACACCGGUGGCGAAGGCGGGUCUCUGGGCAACUCCUGACGCUGAGGCGCGAAAGCGUGGGGAGCAAACGGG